rfam:Triticum aestivum genome assembly, contig: Triticum_aestivum_CS42_TGACv1_scaffold_112432_2AS
ACUCCACUCCCUCCAUUGCAUAAUACAUGCCUUCUAUUUGUCAAAAUAUAUAUGUAUCUAGACAUGUCUUAGUAUAUAGGUACCUCCAUUUUUGGACAAAUGGAAGUCAAGUAUUAUGGAACGGAGGGAGUACACA